rnacentral:rRNA from 1 species
UACGUAGGGGGCAAGCGUUGUCCGGAAUCAUUGGGCGUAAAGAGCGUGUAGGCGGCCCGGUAAGUCCGCUGUGAAAGUCGGGGGCUCAACCCUCGAAUGCCGGUGGAUACUGUCGGGCUAGAGUGCGGAAGAGGCGAGUGGAAUUCCUGGUGUAGCGGUGAAAUGCGCAGAUAUCAGGAGGAACACCAAUUGCGAAGGCAGCUCGCUGGGACGUAACUGACGCUGAGACGCGAAAGCGUGGGGAGCGAACAGG